UCCCUGGUAGCUUGGAGGGUAAAGCGUUUGCCUAUGAUGCGGGAGACCCGGGUUCGAUCCCUGGGUAAGGAA
rnacentral:tRNA from 1 species